rnacentral:rRNA from 1 species
GACGAACGCUGGCGGCGUGCUUAACACAUGCAAGUCGAACGGAAAGGCGCGGCGUUUGUGGGGUGCUCGAGUGGCGAACGGGGGAGUAACACGUGAGUAACCUGCCCUUGACUGUGGGAGAACAUCAGGAAAAAGGGGCGAAUACCGGGGAGGAGCUCCUGCUGCACGGGGGGGGGUGGAAAGAGUCGGCGGUGGGGGAAGGACUCGAGGCUUAUCAGCUUGUUGGGGGGGUAGUGGCUUUCCAAGGCUUUGACGGGUAGCCGGCCUGUGAGGCUGAACGGCCACAUUGGGCCUGAGGUACGGCCCAGGCUCCUACGCGAGGCAGCAGUGCGGAAUCUUGCCCAAUGGGCGGCAGCCUGAUGCAGCAACGCCGCGUGCGGGAUGACGCCCUUCGGGUUGUAAACCACUUUCGCCUGUGACGAAGCGUGAGUGACGGUAAUGGGUACAGAAGCCCCGGCUAACUACGUG